rnacentral:rRNA from 1 species
GACGUAGGGCGCAAGCGUUGUCCGGAUUUAUUGGGCGUAAAGAGCUCGUAGGCGGCUCGUUGCGUCGGCUGUGAAAACCCGCAGCUCAACUGUGGGCUUGCAGCCGAUACGGGCGGGCUGGAGUUCGGUAGGGAAGACUGGAAUUCCUGGUGUAGCGGUGAAAUGCGCAGAUAUCAGGAGGAACACCGGUGGCGAAGGCGGGUCUCUGGGCCGAUACUGACGCUGAGGAGCGAAAGCGUGGGGAGCGAACAGG